AUAUAAUACCUUGCAAUAUAAAACUAAGUUUUUAAUAUAUACACUUGACCACCUUUUCGCUAUACCUCUUUUUCACUGCGGGGAAUCACGUGGUUUUAUUUUGAUAUGGAACACGGAAAAUGGCGGCGUCAUUGUCUCGACUUUGGUUGUGUCGAAUUUGCGGCAAGGCUUUUCAAAGCGCCACAGUGUUAAGAGAUCAUGAAAGAAAACAUACGGGGGUAGCGCCAUACAAAUGUUGUGGACGGAUGUUCUACAGCAAAGCUAAUUUAACAAUACACAGGUGCGCAGCACAUAACAAAACUAAAGAUUUUGCGUGCGAGACUUGUGGGAGAUCAUUCGCAAUAAUGGCAGACAUAAGAACGUACAUGACACAUCAUCAAGAAGCGACGUUUAAAUGUGACACAUGCGGACAUCAAAUGAAUAGGAGAGACCAAUAUGAUAAUCACCUGGCUAUGCAUCUUGGGGCCAAGAAUCAUGCAUGCAAAUGCGGAAAGACAUACACUCACAAGCCGAAUUUGUAUAGGCAUCCGAAAUGCAAACAUGAUACAAAGGGAAUACUAAUGCAGUUGCAAGUAAUAAUACGCCAUCAGCUUAAGAAACUGCAACAAAUUUUGACCCAAUGUAUAGUAAGUGAUUCAUUUCAAUUGAUCGCAUAGAUGCAAUUUGUACACAGCCAUAUCGUGAUGAUUAUCCUCAGGGAGAGUGAUACGCUUUUGUUUAUUAUUUUAGUUUUUGAAGGUGAUAAUGGUGAUUUUGUUGUGCUAUGUUCUCAUGAUUAACACUGUGAUUUAAUUUAAUUAUCUGUGAUAUUGCUGAUUAGUGAAUACAUAAACGCAAAUCCAUGUUUCCUAUUAUUUUUUUAAAUAAAUAAAGCAAAAUAG